ACAUCAAUGUGUGGUUGCCUCUUGCGCGCCUCCUACUGAGGAACCUGGUCCACAACCCAGGAUUGUGCUUUGCCUAGGAGUCGAACCAGCAAGCCCUUGCUCCGCAGGGCGGCUUUCAAUCCACUGAGCCACACCAGCCAGGACUAGAAUACUACUUUUUCUCCCCACUACUUAGCACAGUGCUGUGGCAUCUUUGCUGCUUGGUUACCUGAUCUGGUCAGGUCUCUUUGUUCUUUAGCCAAGUUUUUCUAGUUAGUUGCAUUGAGUGUUUUUGUCAACUGUUAUAGGUGAAAUACAAUUUAGUAUGAAAAAAAGGAAGAGUUCCAGGUGUGUGUUUUAGUAUGCAAAUGCAUUUCUAUUUUUAUAUUUGCAUACUGUUGACUUGCUGUCUGAAUUGCUUAUUGUAUUUGGAAUUUAACCGCUACAUGACCUGAGUAAGAUUGUUAAAACUAGAGAUUUGAACACCAAACCAGAGUGAACUAUACUCAUAUUCUUAAACCCAAGCUGAAGAUAUUACUGAGGUGUUUUACUUUUUAACUAACUGAACCAGAAUUUUUCUUUUUAAUUUAGAAAGCAUCCAGUGGAAACAACUAUUUUCUAAAAUGAUUACAAUGUAACAUAAAAAUAUUCUCCCAGUGAUACAUCAUUUGAUUUAAAACACCAUAUACCUCCUUGGGUAUUAUAAGAUUUGCUUCAAUUCAAAUAUAUUUAUUGCAUUUUGUGAAUAUUUUUCUUCUGGCAUGAUACAGGAAAGUAAACUAUAUUUGCUUUCAUAUUUUUUUUCUGGGUAUGAACCCAGUGGUACUAACUGGUGGCUAAAAAUGCUGCAUGUAAUUUUGAGGGAUAUUGUUCCUGCAUGUAGACAAGGAGAGAUAUUUAUAGAAAUGAUGCAGCAUUUUACCAUUCAGAUUUAUCACUGAACAAUUUAGUCUACCAGGCUUGAUUUCUCUUUCUGCUGAAUUUAGUGGAAUAACUUAUCAGUAUUGGACAGUUGUGUAAAAGUAGUGAAUUACUUAUUAGCUUGCCGUAUAGAUGGUGCUUUGACAGUUCAAUUAAGGUUUCAUUAAUAACUGUUUUCUGUGUUUUAUCUCAAAGUAGGGGUUCCAGCUUACCUUGUAAUAUGAUCAUGGGGUAGUGUGAGAUACACUCAUUGCCAAUGAUAGAAUAUUGUUCAUGGGUUAUCAAAGCAUUAUAUGUAAUUUGAACUUUAUCAGAUGUCAGGGCUUCCAUAUGGUCAUUUUCAUAAUGCAAAACCAAAACACAAAACAACACCCAAACAGAAACCUAAGUCAUUUGGUGAGGAUAUUAUAAAUACCUUUUUGUCUCUAGUUCAUUGUUACCAGAGGAAAUGAGUAUAUUGUACUUAAAGAUGUGACCACUCUGGGACAAAGAGUAUUCCGGUAUAAGGCUUCAGAGUCUUAUGAGGUAUAUACUUGCAAGAAUUUGAGGAAGCUGAUUACAUGAGAGAGGUUUGAGGGCUACUAAACCCAGGCAGUUUUGAUACUGGCAAGCUGAACUCUCACAGAUUGAAUUAAUGGCACACAUUGCCAUUUUAAUAAAAGUGAAUGUAGAGAAAGCUUCUGCUUUAUAAAAUUAGUGUUUUUGGUUUUUUACUUACCUGAUUAAUUGAAAGAUAAAGGUCCUGGAAUUAAUUUGGUCUGGUGCCUUUGUACUGCAAGUUGGAGAACUUUGAAUUUUAUUCUUACACCUUCCACAGGUUACUAUUAUUUGUCUUUAAAAAUUUAAGUAUCACUGUAGUGAUACUUAGUUACCAGCUGUGAUAAUAAUAGCUAUCUCAUAGGAUCACUGUAAGGAUUAAAUGAGGUAAUCCUUGUAAACCAAUGAAUACACUGUCUAGCACACAGUAAGCACUCAAUAAACGCUAGCUUCUUAAAAUUGUAAUUAUUAUUGGUAGAAAAAUCAGACUGUUGUAUUAAUAUGCAUAGAAGUGGUUUCAUAUAUGUUCAGAUUUACCAGGUGAAAUUGACAUGCAGACUGUUUUUGGAGGUGAGACUUUACCAUAGAGUGUCCACUUAGUUGUGCUAUACGCCAGGGAGAGUCAGGGGGAAAUAUUUGGUCCUGUUCUCUCAAUUACUUAAAAAACAAACACAGAAAAAUGUAUAUACAUGUUUGUAUGGAUUUGGUAGGUGUUCUAGUCAGAUCAUUUCUACUGUUUUAGGAAGUGUUAUGGAUUUACAUACUGGGAAGGAAAUUAGGAAAUGAAUUUUUUUUCUUCUCAGAAUGUAACAAAUGAAGGACAUUCUUGUUAUCAAAGUCCAGCUUUACUGGAAAUACAUUUUACUUGUGUUUGGAUGAAAAAGUGUGACUUGCUAAAUAAAAUCCCAGUGAGGUGGGGAAGUAUGUGUGAUUUAAUGGAGAAUUAUUCAGUGUAAAUCCUUAUGCAAUGCAAAGAUUGUCUAGCUUGCUCAUCUUGUGAAAAUUAGAGCCAUUUUUUUUCCUGGUCCUCUUAUUCCUCAGAUGGCAAAUUAUAAUUUGGAAGAAUGGGGAAUGUUUUGGGGAUAUGUUUGGGGGAAAAUCCUGGAUUUAGUUGCAUCAGAAAGAUGUAUACUAAAGUAUAGUAAAGUAUAUUUUGCCAUUAACUGUGUUUUACAGGUUAAGAAUCUGUAGUAUUGAAGUUUCUCUAUUGGCCAAGAUUAACAGCCACAGCUGGAUUCUUUGGGGAUGGGGUGAGGGGGGUCUGCUUUGUGAAAAGAGCUUUGAAGAAGCAGAGCCUGUACCAUAAAAGGAAAUGGUUGCUCUUCUAGACAUAACAACACACUUGUGUGAAACUAGAAAUGUGGAUAUCUAUAUUGUGAAUUUCAACUACAAACGAACAUACUUUUAGAAACUGCAGGUUUGUGGUAGUAAAGUAAAGAAAGCAAAGAGAAGGAAUAAAAGUAACAUAAUCUAAUGACACUGAGCUGGUUUCUUAGUGAUGGAAACUCCAUAGCCUGUAACAUUGGAAGUCAUUUUGUACGUAGGAUGUACUUUUAGAAACUGUAGGUUCAUGAUCAUGAAGUAGAGAAAGCAGAGUUAGAGAAUAAAAGUAAUACAAUCUGAUGAUAUUGAGCCAAUUUCUUGGUGAUGGGAACUCCAUAGCCUGUAACAUUGGAAGUCACUUUGUACUUAGGCUCCUGACAAGAUUAUCCAAAUUGCAUCCAAAAA